AUGCAGACAAUCAAAUGUGUGGUUGUAGGAGAUGAGGCUAUAGGUAAAACCUGCCUCCUCAUCAGUUAUACAACAAAUGUCUUUCCUGAGGAGUAUAUCCCCCCACUGUCUUUGACAACUAUAGCGUCCAGACAUCCGUGGAUGGGCAAAUCAUUAGCCUGAACACGUGGGACACUGCUGGCCAAGAGGAGUAUGAUGACUGCGAACACUCUCCUAACCCCAGACCAGUAUCUUUGUUAUUUGUUUUUCCACUGGGAACCCAUCCUCUUAUGCCAAUGUGAGGCAUAAGUGGCACCCAGAGGUCUCCCAUCAUUGCCCCAAUGUGCCUGUUCUGCUGGUAGGCACCAAGAGGGACCUGUGGAGUAACCUUGAGACAGUGAAGAAGCUGAAGGAGCAGAGCCUAGUACCCACGACUCCCCAGCAAGGCACUUCCCUGGCUAAGCAGUUGGGGGCUGUGAAGUAUCUGGAAUAUUCGGCCCUGAUGCAGGAUGGGGUGCAUGAGGUAUUUUUAGAAGCUGUCCGGGCUGUGCUUUACCCUGCUACAAAGAACACCAAGAAGUACAUCCUCUUA
rnacentral:lncRNA from 1 species